rnacentral:lncRNA from 1 species
UCCCGAACCUAAGGACCAUGGGAGCCACGCAGCCAGAGGGGGUGUGAUCAGAUGUGUGUUCUGGUUGGAUGGCUCUUGUGGCUGUGUGCAGAAUGAAAGGAGGAGUUGGACUUGGCCAUUAAGUCCACGAUGGCAGAGGAAGCAGGUGCCAUGGGAGAAGGACCUUGGAUACAUGCCCAGGAAGGUGAGUAGGGGUCUGCCAGAGACCAGGGCCUGAAACGGCUCUGCUCUCUGUUCUUUUUUUUUUUUUUUUUUGAGACUUGAGUCUUGCUCUGUCGCCCAGGCUGGAGUGCAGUGGCGCCAUCUCGGCUCACUGCAAACCCCGCCUCCCGGGUUCACGCCAUUGUCCUGCUUCAGCCUCCUGAGUAGCUGGGACUACAGGCGCCCACCACCACGCCUGGCUAAUUUUUUGUAUUUUUAGUAAUUCCAACCUCUUAGCCAAGACCAGAGCUAAAAGGGCACCUUCAUCACACCGCCGACGUUGACCCCAGGCUGACAAAUGUGACCUGCUUCCGUUGGUCUUUGAAUCCUCAUUUCUAUUUGCUUUUCAACUUUAUUGUAUAUAUCUUUUAUGUAACUUACUUCAAGUUAUUUUGUAGGGAAAUGUGUAAAAAACCCCUGCUUUUUGGGAUCAUGAAAAUAUUUCAAAGUUAGAUUAUGGUGAUGGUUGCCCAACUUUGUAAAUAUACUAAAGAUCGUUCAAUGGUACGCUUUAAACGGAUGAACUUAAUGGUAUAUAAAUUAUCUCAAUAAAACGAUUU